GAUGAACACUGGCGGCGUGCCUAAUACAUGCAAGUCGAGCGAACGGACGAGAAGCUUGCUUUUCUGAUGUUAGCGGCGGACGGGUGAGUAACACGUGGAUAACCUACCUAUAAGACUGGGAUAACUUCGGGAAGCCGGAGCUAAUACCGGAUAAUAUUUUGAACCGCAUGGUUCAAAAGUGAAAGACGGUCUUGCUGUCACUUAUAGAUGGAUCCGCGCUGCAUUAGCUAGUUGGUAAGGUAACGGCUUACCAAGGCAACGAUGCAUAGCCGACCUGAGAGGGUGAUCGGCCACACUGGAACUGAGACACGGUCCAGACUCCUACGGGAGGCAGCAGUAGGGAAUCUUCCGCAAUGGGCGAAAGCCUGACGGAGCAACGCCGCGUGAGUGAUGAAGGUCUUCGGAUCGUAAAACUCUGUUAUUAGGGAAGAACAUAUGUGUAAGUAACUGUGCACAUCUUGACGGUACCUAAUCAGAAAGCCACGGCUAACUACGUG
rnacentral:rRNA from 1 species